CAGGUGAGUUCUUCACAUCAUCUGGCUGAGCUUAAGUUCAGAGCUAGUGCACUGACCUUGCUCUUUGCAUUUUUCUGGAGCAGCCUGGGAGAAGUAAUGGUGGAACAAGGGCUGUCUUCCUCCAAACCACCCAAGCUUUCCCUGCACUGCCAAGGAAGCAGAGAACCUUGCUUUGCAUCCCCAUCCUGUCUCACGUUUAGACUGGUGAAAGACUGGUGCUGGAUGUGGGCUGGUAUUUCCCAGUAGCCUGUUGUUUGACACCAUCCUGCAAUGACCUAUGCUCUGCCUCAGCUCACUUCCUGAAGCAUGUGUUGCAUAUGAUGGCUAGGUUGGCCUCUUCUAACAGGAGACAGCUGUCAAUCCAGUGAGAUAGCAGCUAGAAUAACUCUUCCAGUUUCAGUCAGAGUCAUUAACCAGAUGACCAGCGCAUGGGUUUUCCACCAAAUGUCCUUUAGAGGGCUCAUACCGAUUUUUCAAAUGUUUUUAUGAGAUGAAGCAAUGCCACAAAAUCAUCUCUUUCCUAUGAGCCUGCUUGCCUGGCAUACCCAGCCGCAAGGAUAAAACUGCAGUGGGCUUGCACCUCCAUUCUUGAUGGGAAGGCUUAUUGCAGAGACUUUAGCAAAUGUGCUAAUGUGAGUAAGCUGUGAAAGAAGUUUGCCCUUUCCUGGUAUUUAAACAUCCUACCACACUAAAGCUCACUGGCUCUUCUCCAUGCCAGCUUAAGACGAGGCUUGGCUGUGGCACUUUGCAGGUGUAGGGACACUGAGAUCCAAAGGAUACAGCAGGAGCCAACAGGUAUGUUCUUGCCUCAUGUUUGCUGUUGCAAAUCCCUCGAUGGAUGUGAUCUACAUGAAUUAAUUGCUUCAUGUAUUGAAUGAGGUGGUUGCAAAUGAAGCUAAGACUCAAAGAGGAAACACAUUUCCACAUGCCUAAUUUUCCCUGUUGCUGAAACGCAGCUCUGUAACAGUGUGAGUCAAUGCAGCCAGUCUCUUUAUUGUAAUACAAAUAGAUGGAAAUUUCUUAAAAUGUUGUCCUUGCCUGAAUAAAAAGUAUACUGACAAAUUCCACUGAGGCUUUCAUGACUAAUUAACUAAAGGCAAAAAAAAAAAAAAAAAUUCACUUGCUCUGUUAAAAUUAUCCUUUCUGUAAGAAAUUGACCUAAAUUCUUCUUUCCAUUGGAAUCCAAAGUAAUCACACUGUCCCUGUCUUCCUUUCCUUUGCACCCCUCUUACCGUGCCCUCAGCUGGAUAGAGAUGCUCCUGCCCUGAAGUGAAAGUAUCAGCAUCACCCAAGUCCUCUGGAAGCCAUCCACCAGCUACCAGCUGCUCUUGGCUCUUUCCCAAGUCUGUCACCACCCUUACUUUGAAUUUGCUCAAGUGAAUUCCUUCCUCCAUGCUGGCCUGAGUGUUCAUCUGCCAGAAAAAUAGGUACCGCAGUGUUCUUCAUCUGAAGGGUGUGAUUGUGCUGCAGGCAGGGCUGAGCUCAGGCGGUUUGCAGGAACUGGCUUCACUACCAAUGUUGAUGCCAUUUUCUGCCCUGCUCCCUGGUGCACGUUCCUGGUGCUCGCUUUACAGAAUUCCUUCUCAUGUUUGCUGUGGGGAUGGCUUAAAAAUUGUUACUGGUUCAGGUCCUUUGGAAAUUAAAUAUACUUCAUAUGUCCGUUACCUUUCUCUCCCCCAUUUCCUUCUAUAAACUUCCAACCUGUUUGACCACUUCUGCUGUUGAAAAGUACCAUGCUCUCCUCAGCAAGAUAAAGGAUGUUUGAUGCUUUGAAUUCUGUAUUUAAUAUGGCUACAGAGCCUUGGGAAGUUGAUAUUUGCUCGGUUGGGUCUUCUGACCAGUUUGGAUGAGACUUUCAUCAACCUGGUCUAGUGGAAGGUGUCCCUGCCUGUGGCAAGGGGCUGGAAAUGGAGAGCUUUCAGGUCCCUUCCAACACAAACUGUUCCAUGAUCCUGUGGUUCUGCACAUCUGCCUAUACAGAAAGCUAUUGAACUGUGGAAAGCGAUGACUGAAAGUGAAGUGCAUCUCUUGAUUUCUGACGGUAUAUUCACUGGUAAAAUGGAGUAUAUUAUUCCUGUAAGAUAAUACAUCAGAUAGUUGUAAACCUAGCAAAAUUGUUUCUUUCUAACAAUGUUUCUCAGUUUCAGCUUUGAUGUGAAGGGCUACAGCUAAAUUGGGCUAAUGACAAACAAGAAAAUCUCGCUUGAGAGUUUGGAGAUGUCUGCACUAUAAAGGAAACUGAAUUCUCAGAGAGGCAUGAUAAAUGCACAGUUAAAUGUCUCAAUUGCUGUCUCGGUUGAUGGCAGUCAUUUGUCGAUGGUAAUGCCAAUAUGUGCUGUAAUUUUAUAAAUGCUCUGAAGUAUUCAAAAUACAUUCAAAACUACUCUAAAUUGCUGCCCGAAGUUUCAGCACAGUAUUGGUUGUCAAACAGAGAAUUUGAAAGGAUAGUAUCUACUUGGAAAUUGCAGUACUGCCUGAACACCGGGUAUCUUCUAGCCCUGCAAAUCAGAGUUUAAAAUGGUGAGACUACUGAAGUUUUGAUGGUUUUGUUUUCUUUCAAUGGUGCUUUAUGAGCAGAUUUACUGUAUUGGUCAUGUGCACUCAGUCCAUGGUCACACUUUCCUUGGAUGGAGGGCUCACAAGGUGCCUCCUCUCCCAGCUUGGAAGCAGCAGGUAAACAACACUCAGCUUUGUCAUUUCCAAAGCUUUGAUAUCAAUUUCCACCUGUUUUGGGAAACAGCAUCCUUACCAGCUGAGCAGUUUUACUCAUUGAAACAAAUAUUCACUGUUGUUCUCUUCUAGGGUCUUACAGCAAGAACAAAAAGCAACAAAAAUAGAUAAAGUGUAAAAUAAAGAUGCUGGAAAUCACACAGAAAGGCUCACAUUCUGUGCACAGAGCUUCCUGAGCAGUGCAACAACCCCAACGCAACCACCAGUGCAGGAACAUCUCCCAGCAAUGAUAAUUGCAUCUGUCAGUAACUACAAAACUUACCUAGCUUUCCAGAAGACACCCUAAUGCAUGAGAUGUGGGAGAACAAGCUCAAAUCCAGACAGAAAGCAGAGCAGAGCCCAAAGUGGGUGUAUCAGUUUUUUUCUAACCUGAUAAAUGGAUGCUGAUGCAGAAGUUUCCAUCCCAAGAGCUUCUCCUUGACAGAGGUGUAGAGCUAAAGGUCCCAGGGUCCUUCCCAUGAGGAAACCUGGUGAUGAGGCUAGCCCACUCAGGUAUAAUUCUUUCUCUAAUUUUCUACUAGGUUUUCAGUCAUUCCAAUUCUAAAACCUCAUUUUACCAAAUUGCCCCAUGAUGCUGCCACAGCCUUAUCAGUGUCCUGUUGCUGCUUGUCCAUGAAAUUAAAUGACUAUGGGGAGGUGCUAAUCACAGUUAAGGCUAAACAACUGCAAACGCCUACAAAGGAUGGUAAAAUGCUCUGAGGUUCCUGUAGUA